rnacentral:rRNA from 1 species
UGGGAACAUACCUUUUGGUUCGGAAUAGCUCAGGGAAACUUGGGGUAAUACCGGAUAAGCCCUUCGGGGAAAGAUUUAUCGCCAUUGGAUGGGCCCGCGUCGGAUUAGCUAGUUGGUGAGGUAACGGCUCACCAAGGCAACGAUCCGUAGCUGGUCUGAGAGGAUGAUCAGCCACACUGGGACUGAGACACGGCCCAGACUCCUACGGGAGGCAG